GCCCCUAUAGUUGAAACACAACCAAGAGCUUUUCACGCUCUUAAGUUUGAGUUAAAAUCUCAAUAGGAGCU
rfam:Strongylocentrotus purpuratus complete mitochondrial genome